rnacentral:rRNA from 1 species
UACGUAGGGUGCAAGCGUUGUCCGGAAUUAUUGGGCGUAAAGAGCUCGUAGGCGGUCUGUCGCGUCGGAUGUGAAAACCCAGGGCUCAACCCUGGGCCUGCAUUCGAUACGGGCAGACUAGAGUUCGGUAGGGGAGACUGGAAUUCCUGGUGUAGCGGUGAAAUGCGCAGAUAUCAGGAGGAACACCAGUGGCGAAGGCGAGUCCCUGGACAACUUCUGACGCUGAGGCACGAAAGCUAGGGGAGCAAACAGG